rnacentral:rRNA from 1 species
AUUCUGGCUCAGGAUGAACGCUGGCGGCGUGCUUAACACAUGCAAGUCGAACGGGAUCCAUCAGGCUUUGCUUGGUGGUGAGAGUGGCGAACGGGUGAGUAAUGCGUGACCGACCUGCCCCAUACACCGGAAUAGCUCCUGGAAACGGGUGGUAAUGCCGGAUGCUCCAGUUGAUCGCAUGGUCUUCUGGGAAAGCUUUCGCGGUAUGGGAUGGGGUCGCGUCCUAUCAGCUUGACGGCGGGGUAACGGCCCACCGUGGCUUCGACGGGUAGCCGGCCUGAGAGGGCGACCGGCCACAUUGGGACUGAGAUACGGCCCAGACUCCUACGGGAGGCAGCAGUGGGGAAUAUUGCACAAUGGGCGCAAGCCUGAUGCAGCGACGCCGCGUGAGGGAUGGAGGCCUUCGGGUUGUAAACCUCUUUUAUCGGGGAGCAAGCGAGAGUGAGUUUACCCGUUGAAUAAGCACCGGCUAACUACGUGCCAGCAGCCGCGGUAAUACGUAGGGUGCAAGCGUUAAUCGGAAUUACUGGGCGUAAAGCGUGCGCAGGCGGUUCUGUAAGACAGAUGUGAAAUCCCCGGGCUCAACCUGGGAAUGGCAUUUGUGACUGCAGGACUAGAGUUCAUCAGAGGGGGGUGGAAUUCCAAGUGUAGCAGUGAAAUGCGUAGAUAUUUGGAAGAACACCAAUGGCGAAGGCAGCCCCCUGGGAUGCGACUGACGCUCAUGCACGAAAGCGUGGGGAGCAAACAGGAUUAGAUACCCUGGUAGUCCACGCCCUAAACGAUGUCUACUGGUUGUUGGGAAUUUAAUAUUCUUGGUAACGAAGCUAACGCGUGAAGUAGACCGCCUGGGGAGUACGGUCGCAAGAUUAAAACUCAAAGGAAUUGACGGGGACCCGCACAAGCGGUGGAUGAUGUGGAUUAAUUCGAUGCAACGCGAAAAACCUUACCUAGCCUUGACAUGCCGAGAAUCCCGAAGAGAUUUGGGAGUGCCCGUAAGGGAACUUGGACACAGGUGCUGCAUGGCUGUCGUCAGCUCGUGUCGUGAGAUGUUGGGUUAAGUCCCGCAACGAGCGCAACC